UUGGGCAUAUGAUUCGUAGAUAUAAAGCAAUUUGGUUGUUAGAACCAAUUGCUAACUAGUUAUAUUUGUUACUUGUUAGGAACUAUGGAUCAGAAAUGGAUGUUGGCCAAUCGAGCGUCAAAAGAAUACGAAGAUGGGGUGCAAGAGUUUUUUAGGUUUGCUAUUGCUAAUGCAGAAGACACUAGUAAAAUCAUAUGCCCUUGUUUGGAAUGUUGUUAUACAGAUGUUAGUGCCAAUGAUUUGCAAGAUCACUUAAUAUGUAAUGGAAUUGAUAAAAGCUAUACAUGUUGGACAAUACACGGGGAAAAGAAAACUAAGUCCGCUAAUUUCUGGGCCCACACAACCAGGAAAUGAUAUAGACAUAUACUUGGCUCCAUUAAUUGAAGAUUUAAAGCAUAUGUGGGAGACAGGUGUAGAGGUAUAUGAUGAGUACAAAAAAGAAUCCUUCAUAUUGAGGGCUAUGUUAUUUGGAACAAUUAACGAUUUUCCAGCCUAUGGGAAUCUAUCAGGCUAUAGUGUCAAAGGAAAGUGUGCAUGCCCCGUAUGUGAAGAUCAUACGAAUUGGAUACGGUUGGAACAUUUUCAGAAGAAUGUAAUUCUUGGGCACCGUAGAUUCUUAAAUACAAAACAUCAUUAUCGGAAAUGGAAAAAAGCAUUUAAUGGUGAAUCAGAAGAAGAUAGAGCUCCGUCGCCUUUGAUUGGCGAUCAAUUAUACGAAAAAGUCAAGCUUUUGAGCACUAAAUUUGGAAAGCCUUUUUCAGGAGAACUUGUCACUGGUGGAUGGAAAAAAAAGUCAAUUUUCUUUGAAUUGCCAUAUUGGAAGUCAUUGUAUGUACGACAUUUCCUUGAUGUGAUGCAUAUUGAAAAAAAUGUUUUUGAUAGUGUUGUUGGUACAUUACUCAAUAUACCAGGAAAGUCUAAGGAUGGCAUCAAUGCAAGGUUAGACAUGCAAAGUAUGGGAUUAAGGAAUGAACUGAGGCCAGUUAAGAAGGAUGAGAAGCGUACAUUUCUACCUCCAGCAGCUCAUACUUUGUCAAGAAAAGAGAAAAAGAUCUUUUGUAAGUUUCUUCACAAUGUUAAAGUUCCAGAGGGUUACUCUUCAAACAUUAGGAGCUUGGUAUCUAUGAAGGAUCUUAAAUUAAAGGGUUUAAAGUCUCACGAUGGUCAUGUUUUAAUGGGGAAUUUUCUUCCAAUUGGUAUACGUUCCAUUUUGCCUGAAAAUGUGCGAUGGACCAUAACUAAACUUUGUUUCUUCUUCAAAGCUAUUUGUAGCAAAGUUAUUGACCCUGAGAAGUUGCCGACACUACAAAAUGAAACUGUUGUCACCUUAUGUGAGCUUGAGAUGUAUUUCCCCCCCUCUUUUUUUGACAUAAUGGUUCAUCUAACUGUCCACCUUAUCAUGGAAACACAAUAUUAUGGACCAGCUUAUAUGAGGUGGAUGUACCCGAUUGAGCGUUAAUGAAGAUAUUAAAAGGGUAUGUAAAAAAUCGAAGCCGACCAGAGGGUUGUAUUGUUGAACGGUAUAUAGUUGAAGAAGCUGUUGAGUUUUUUACUGACUUCCUCUCUAAUGUUGAGUCCAUAGGGCUUCCAAUGUCACGACACUCAGGAAGGACAACAGGGGAAGGGAUUGGUGCAAGUAAACUAGUGACCAUCUCAGACAUAGAAUUGGAGCAAGCCCACUUGUAUGUUCUACACAAUGCCGAUGAGGUUGAGCCAUAUGUUAAAAAGCACAAGGAAAUUCUUCAGAGUUUGAACCCUAACAGAAGUGAAAAUUGGUUAACAAGAGAACACAAUCGGAGGUUUAUAUCAUGGCUAAAAGAACACAUUUUUUCAGAGUUUGCUAAAAAUCCAGAUUCAAUUUCUGAAAGAUUGACAUGGCUAGCAAAUGGCCCAAAUGAAAAUGUUCUCUCUUACUCUAGUUAUGUGAUUAAUAAGUAUACAUUUUAUACGAAAGAACAUGAUCAACAAAGCACUAUGCAAAAUAGCGGUGUCACGCUCGUAGCCCAAUCUCUGCAUAUCUCAAGUGCCAAAGACAGAAAUCCAGAAUUUGCCAAAUUGUCAUAUUUUGGGGGUCAUUGAACAUAUCUGGGAGUUGGAUUACUCAUCUUUCCAAGUGCCUGUGUUUGGUUGCAAGUGGGUUGAUAACAACAAUGGUGUUCAAGUUGAUCAUGGGUUCAUGAAGGUUGAUCUUAACAGAGAGGGGUAUAGAGAUGAGCCUUUUAUUUUAGCAUCACAAGCUCACCAAGUGUUCUAUGUAACUGAUCCUGCCGAUGAAAAGUGGUCUAUUGUGCUUCUAAGCAACAAAAUAAAUGACCACCAUGAUCAAGAAUGUGAAAAUAGAUAUGUUGAGGAUGAUCCUUUCUUCAACACAUCACAUUCACUUGAGGAUGAACCGAUUACAGAUGAUAUUCUCUAUAUGAGAAACGAUCACAAUGAUGGGAUUUGGAUCAAUCCAUCAUUAUGGGUAAGAAAAAAACAGAAAACUAGGACUCGAAUUACAAGGAAGAGGAAAAGGCCGACUUGAUCUUGUGAAUGGGUUCUACUAAUGAUGAAUGUGGUUCAUCUAGUAAGAAAACAAUUGCUAAACGUGGUGUGACUCGGUUGCCAAAAAUUCACAAAGCCAAAAGCAAUGGAAACAGGAUAGAGGUUCAAUGGAAUGCAAGAGGUCAGCCAGUUAAGCAUAAUAAAAGCUUUUGUAAUUGGCGAUGAACAUCGUGAAUAUGUAUUGAGAGAAGCUGGAAAGUUGCAUCGGGCAUUCAGAACCAAAAUUGCCAAGUUUUUUCUGAAAGAUAGUAAUGGUGAUUUUAAUAAACAACGUCCUGCGAAAUAUUCUUACUGUAUAAAACAAGAGCAUUGGGAUAACUUUGUAGCUCAGCGUAAGAGUACACAUUUUCAGAAACUUAGUAUUCAAAAUCGAGAAAGAGCGUUGAAUCCUCAACAUCCAUAUAGAAAAUCACGUUUAGGUUGUGCUCGUCUUGAAGAGGAUAUGAUAGAAGAGUCUGAAAAUGAUCCGAUAACCCGAUGUCAAGUGUGGAAGGCUGCCCGUGUCAAUAAGGAUGGAGUGAUUGAUAAUGACAAUGUUCAAGGAGUUGUGGAUGAAUGUGAAAAGUUAACACAAUCUUUAACUGAAGAACAGAGAGAAGACCUUGGUCCUACAGAUUUAUUAUUUAAGGCUCUAAAUAAUCCCUGAAACUACUCUGGCAGUGUUAGGAGUUAUGGUUUUGGGGUAUGUUCUAGAGACAUAUUUCCACGUCAAAUUCGCCCCACACAAAUGGACCUUGAAAAACUUUAUGGCAUUUGCAAUAAACUUAAGAGUAGAGUUGAGGUGUUAGAGAGAGAGAAGUUGGAGAGAGAUAAGUUAGAGAGGCAACAAACCAAUGAAGUAAUAGAGACACAUAAACCUGAAAGAG